rnacentral:lncRNA from 1 species
AAUAAUAACGUAUAAUAUUUGAUGAAAGUCGAUUUCUAUACCAACUUCUGCAAUCAUUAUACUUAUUUCAUACUGAUGUUAUACAGAAUUCAUACACGAAAUAGUUUAAUAAGUAUAUACAAGAUAAUUUUCACUAUACCAUUCUUAUGAAAGAUUACGAUAUAUAUUUAAAUCCUUAUUUAUGUUGUUACCAAUACAAACUGAUUGUUCAAUAUUUUUUCUCUAAUAUCCAUUGACAUAUCUUUUAUUGUUAUAUACAAUGAGUAUUUUAUAAAGAAAUUGACAAUGCUCCUUAUAUCAUAUUAUUUUUAAAGAACAAAAGGAAAAUUAGAAGAAAGAAAAUUUCUGAUGAAGGAGAACAAAUCGUUGGUUGAAUAAUGAUUCACAAUGGAACAAUUUGUUGGUUGAAUAUUCUAGGACUUCUACGCGAAGGAGUAGAAUCAAAUUUUGAUUUAGACAUGAUUCUCAAUGGAGAAUGAAAAAAACAAAUAUAUCAAUUUUAUGUUUUUCGAAAAGAAGAUGGAUAUAAUCUUAAACCCACUUUUUUCAAUGAAGAAGAUGAAUAUUAUAUGAAACCCACUUUUUUUCAAUCUUGUAUUUUCAAGGGAAGAAUAUGAAUAUUAUAUGAGUAAGUUAAUGGAAUCAGAAUUUUCAAUAAAUUUUUGAAAGGUUGAGUAUUAGAAUGGAGAAAGAGAAUAUAUAUUUACCAUAAUUAUCAAUACACAAUUUAAGGGGAAUAUUGAUUACAACCCUAUAAAUAUGAAACUGAUUUUAAAUUGUAUAAUUAAAAAUAAAUUUUGAAAAUAUAAUUAAAAUAAUAUAUCUUUAAAUAAGUUGCUAUAACUUUAACUAAAUUGCUAUUAAUGCAAUUAUCUAAAAGUGUUGCUAAAAUUUGCUAUUUCAGAUCUAAUAAUACUAUAGGGGAUAAUUUUCUCUAAGAAUUAAAGAAAAGGAUCCAUUUAUAUGAAAACAAUAUUCAGACAAAAUUUGAGACUACACAAGAUAUCAAAAUGUAUUAUUUUCCUUUUACACAGCUAGGCUAUAAGAACAUCAACACACUCAAACCAGGACCUCAAGAUCAUUAUUAAGACGCCAAGAGAACGUUAACAACAUUCAACGUCAAGAGACGACCAAACAAUUGUGAGUGAAACAAAUCAAGAACAUACUAUGCAGAAUUUCGUCAAGACGCAAUUUUUCAACCAAGUAGUUAAACAAAUCAUGGUAUAGAGCUCGACUCAAUUAAUUUUUUAUCAAUAAGUUAUUUUACAUUCGAGCAGGACAAGACGAGGAAGAAAUUAAUUUUAAGAUUUUAUACUUUAGCCAGAUAAACAGCAGGAAAAGAUAUCACUAAAAACACACAAUGAGACAUAUUUUCCAGCAGCUUACAAACAACACAAAAAGAGAUUAUAACUAUAGGAAUAUCUCAACAAGAAUAUCAUCGCAACUAUACCUAUGGCCUUCGAGGCCUCUACAGCAAGCAAUCCCAGCAUACAACAACUAUGAUUACAAAACUAUGGAGAAAGAAUGAAGAAGAAAACAAUGACAAAUUAAAAGUAAAGGUGUUUACCUUGUUCGGGGAAACAAAACAAGACUUGAGCUAUUGUCGGAAUCUCCUCGCCACCACCGAAAGCUAAGAUUAAAUCCAAAACUGACUAAGAGAAAUUUCAAUUGUCAUUUUCUUUUCCUCGGAAUAUUUUAAAGCUUAUUCCUCAAAAGCCCUUUUUCUUUUUUUCUCCUUCCUCCUCAUUUUCAACGAAAACAGCAAAAAUAUCAAUAGGAAAAGCUUUAGGGUCCAGUUUUUAUUCCUUUCAAGGUGGGAUGGGAAAUUGGAUAGAAAUUCGAAGAGAGGAUUUCAAAAUUUCAAAAUAGGAUUAAUAUCCACCAUCCACCUAUGUACGAAUCGGACGAUAGUGAGAUAUUAUACCGUUGAGAGAGACAGAUGGACAGUUUCUAGGCUCUUCUAGAAGUGGACAACUCAUUAAUCGCACAUAAAUGAUGAUUUUAGGGUUGUGUAAGUUGUCGAAGGAUGAUGCUGCGUUUAUCAUGGGUUCGGGUCGUUGGGUCUAGUGCAGGUCACCAUUUAUGGUGGGAGUUAGAAUGGGUUGGUUCGGAGAUUUUUGGUUGAAAUUGUCAUCGUUGUCGAUGUUUUUAAGUUGUACGCAGCUUUUGAUGAUGAUGUUGCUUUUAUCGAUUCUUGAUGGUGAAGAUAUAAGGUGGGACGGAUCAGAUUUGGUUUUGGACUGCUGGAUCUAUUUUAAUUAUUAUUGGCUUGGGCUGCUGAUUUAAUUUGAAGGUAUGGGUUUUAAUUGGGGUUAUUUAAUAACCCCAAUUAGAUUUAAUUGGGUUAAAAUAACCCUAAUUAAAUUAGGAAUUUGGCAAUUUUUGAAAUUAUUUUAGAAAAAAUAAUCUCAAUAAAAAAAUAAUUUCAAUUAAGAUUUAGCCUAUUCUAUUUAAAUUUUGACCAAAUUAAAAGUCGAUUGGCCAAUUGAAUUGCAAUUGUGGUCAAUUUAGUUUCAAUUAUGAUCAAAUUUAAUAGAUUGGUUAAAUUAAAUUGAAAUUCGAUACGAAUUAAUUCUUCCUUUAAUCUCGGCCUUUUUGCUUUAAUAAAAUCAAACUCAUAUUUAUCCAAACAAAUUGUUCUUUAGAAUAAAUUAUAUUUAAAACAAGAUUUUGAUCAUUUAUAUUUAUUUUCAAGAUAUGCCUUGAUUAAAGUUUGAUAUUUUGUAAAAUAAAUAUUUAAGUAACAAAAUUAUAAAAUUUCAUAUAAUUGAAUACGACAAUAUAUAAUCGCUACUUAAAAUGACAAAUUUACGCAAAAAAAUACUUUGAAAAGUUUUUUAUUUAGAUAAAAUAAAUUUUAUAAUUUUAUUCAAAACCGAAGAAACUCAUAAUUAAAUUUAGUUAUAGAGGGCAAAAAUUAGGUGUCAACAACUGCCCCCUCCCUUUGGGUAGGGUGGAUUGGGCAAAGAGAGGUUGACGUUCCUAAUUUUGUCCGACCACAAAUUCAAAUCCAAAGGAGGUUGGUUUUAGCACGAGUUUCAUGGAGUUAUAGAUGGACCUUGGUAUCUGAUUUCCUACAUAUCUUAGGUUACAUGAGAAUUCAGGCCACUUGUAGUUUAUAAAACUUGAUUUAAAGUAGGAUUUUUAAAAAAUUCACCAGCUAUCUCGUUUUUAGAGUUUUUAAAAAAAACCGAAAUGCUGGGGAAUAAAGGGAUUUGGGGGGAGGUUGAAAUGCAGUCGAGUUUUAAACAAAGAUCCCUAACCUACAUACCCCCGAGACUCGGGGAAUCAGACUGCUUGUAGUUUGACUCAAUCGGUAGAAAAGAUAAUCUUUUAUUUCAGACGAUCUUUGGCUCAGGAUGGGUGAUAAGUUGAUAGAGUUGUGGAAAAGAGGUUUGUAACCUAUUAACCAUGAAUGUGGAGAUCUUCACAUCCAUAGGUAAGAAAUUCGCUGGACAUAAUUUCUCAAAACUCUAAGUAUGUGUCACCCAAAUUCGAAAGAGAGAGAAGGUUACCAUCGAUAUGAGUUUAGAAAUAACCCGAAGGUGAAGCUGAAACAAACAUAUCCCGGAGUACCCAUAUGCCUUCUAAAAGGGGUGUGGUUUGAUUGGUGGGGGCGAUCAUCCUUAGCUCGCGUCCAAAGAGUUUGACGCCCCUCUCUAGACUAUGUCCCAUUUUGCUGUUAAGAAAAAGUUCCACGUUAUGCUGCGUUAUUUUUGGAUUCUUCCGCACCUGUGGGUUUUUUUUUUGAGAUUUUCAUCCUCUUGGAUGCUCUCGACAAUGUCUCAAACAAAAAUCAUUAGUGCUAAACACAAUUCUUGAAAAAGGUAUAUAGUCUUUACCAUUUUUCCACAUGAGUUGUCGCCUGAACAACAAAGUCAUCCUUUUAUGUACCAGUUUGGAAGGAGAUGACUUGCAACAACAGACACAACAAACCUCUUGGUUUUUGCAUAAUUAUCCCAUUUUUCGGUUGAAUAUAUCUUCAAAAUGGGGUGGUCCUUUUGGACACCGAUGACACUUUAUGCAAAACGAUCCUUGCAAUCGUGUAAUCUUAUACUGAUGUGAUAACCCUUUGGUCACCUACAAUGCUUAUUGUAUGAUAAAUUCUCCCGUUAUUGCCAAUAAUUCUUUAAAUAUGAUCUCAGGUAAGUUUUGUACAUCUUUUGUAUCGAUACGACUUAUAGAUUUCCCUUGAGUUGUCAAUCUUUGGAUAAUAUUGUGCAUUAUUUGAUAUUGGAUACGAGGAGACUUAUAGAUAUCCUUUGAAUUGCUAGCCCUUAGGUAAUCUUGCACAUUAUCCGACCUUGGAUAAGAGAUGGCUUACAGAUAUCCCUCCAAUUGCUAGUUCUUAGGUAUUUCUGCACAUCAUCCGACCUUGGAUACAAUAUGACUUAUGGAUAUCUCUUAAAUUGGUAGUCUUUGGGUAACCCUACACAUAAUCUAUCUUGGAUAUGACGCGGCUUAUGGAGAACUCUUGGACUUAUCAAUUUGAUAAUCUCGCAUAUUCUCCGGUAAGGAUUUAGGUGUGACUUAUGGAUAAACUUCAAACUAUCAAUUUUUGGUUAACCUUGUAUACUAUUUGAUUAGGAUGUUGUUGUGGCUUAUGAAUGACCUAUGAACUAUAAACUCAUAGGUAAUCUUGCACCCUAUCCUAUUUCAAAUAAUAUGACCUAUAGAUGACCCUAGGAUUGUCAAUUGCUAGGAAGUCUCAAAUGUCGUUCUCUUUCAGAUAGCGACUUAAAGACAUCUCUUUGAAUCAUGUGCUUUUGAUACAUUUAGAUGAUAAUUCAUAAAGUGAUGAGAUAUUCUCGACGUCAGCGUAUGAUAUCUCGCGUUUUAAUAGAUAUUAGAUGUUGAUGAUAUCCUCGAUGCCAACGUAUGUCAUCUUACAUGUUAAUAGAUAUUAGAUAUUGAUGAUAUCCUCAACGCCAGCGUAUGCUAUCUCGCAUGUCAACAGAUAUUAGAUGUUGAUGAUAUCCUCGAUGCUAGUGUAUGCUAUCUCACGUGUCAAUAGAUAUUAGAUGCUGAUGAUAUGCUUGACGUCAGCCUAUGCUAUCUCGCGUGUCAUCAGAUAUUUAGAUGUUGAUGAUAUCCUCGACGCCAGCGUAUGCUAUCUUGUAUGUCAUCAGAUAUUUAGAUGUUGAUGAUAUCCUCGACACCAGCGUAUUCUAUCUCGUGUAUCAUCAGAUAUUUAAUGUGGAUGAUAUUCUCGACACCAGCGUAUGCUAUCUCGCGUCUCAUCAGAUAUUUAAUGUGAAUGAUAUCCUCAACUCUAGCGUAUGCUAUCUUGCGUAUCAUCAGAUAUUUAAUACGGAUGAUAUCCUUGAUGCCAGCAUAUGCUAUCUUGUGUGUCAACAGAUACUAAAUGCUAAUGAUAUCCUCGACGCCAGCGAAUACUAUCUCGCGUGUCAACGGAUAUUAAAUGUUAAUGAUAUCCUCGACGCCAGUGUAUGCUAUCUUGCAUGUCAAUAGAUAUUAAAUAUUGAUGAUAUUCUCUACACCAGCAUAUGCUAUCUCGUGUGUCAACAGAUAUUAAAUGCUAAUGAUAUCCUCGAUGCUAGCGUAUGCUAUCUUGCAUGUCAAAAUAUAUUAAAUGUUGAUGAUAUCCUCGAGCCAGCGUAUGCUAUCUCGCGUGUCAUCAAAUAUUUAGAUGUUAAUGAUAUCCUUGACUCCAGCAUAUGCUAUCUCGUAUGUCAUCAGAUAUUUUAUGCGGAUGAUAUCCUCGAUGUCAGCGUAUGCUAUCUCACGUGUCAUCAGAUAUUUAAUACGAUGAUAUCCUCGAUGCCAGCGUAUGCUAUCUUGCGUGUCAACAGAUAUUAAAUGCUGAUGAUAUCCUCGAUGCCAGCGUUUACUAUCUCGCGUGUCAACAGAUAUUAAAUACAAUGGCCUUUUCGGCAAUGAAAUGAGAUAAAAUAGCCUAUUUGGUAAUGAGUUGAUAUGAAAUGGCCCUCUUUGCAAUGAGAUAAUAUGAAAUGGUUUUUUCGAUGAUUUGAAAACAGUUUCACCUGAGUUCGUUUGUCAGCAUUUUGCUUUCUACAUGUACCUGUACUCAAGAUAGACAGUUAGUAGACACAAUGUCGCUCUCACUGGCGACCACAGUCAAGUUUUAUGACAGUUAAAUGACGAAUAUUGAGCAUCAUAAUUUGAAUGACUUGAUCCAAUAUUAAUAUUUUUUUUGAAGAAAUAAUUAAAUAAUGAAUCUAUCAGAUGCAAGGAAAUGAGGCAAAGUCCUUGUUUGGUGAUUACUCAAAUGCCAUUUGCUUCGUUCCAAGGCGAAUUUUGAGGAUGACUUUCUGCUCUUCCUCCUAUUGAGUGAUCCUCUGGAUUGUUGUAUUUAUUGUGUCGUCUCCCUUGAAUGUACCUUUGUUUGUCCUUCAUGGUCUCCAGAAAUGAGAUAGACAAUUCAAAAGGUCCUCGAUAAAUGGGUAUUAACCCAUCUUUGGGGCUACCCGGAAAUACCGUUCUUGAGCAUCAUAUUCACUGGUGGCUCCCAACUUGCUUGGGGAUUUUUUGAAAAGGAUUUCCAUCUUUGUGUUUUUAUCCCUACAUCCAUAGAAACAUAGUUAGUUUUGAAUGAAACUACUCCGUGUUGACGUCCUUCGAUCCUUGGUUUUCUCCUUGCCAUCUUUCUGGUGCUCCAUCGUGUUAGGACCCCUACUCUGACUCCCCGUUUCAAUAGCUGCCUAGACAAUAACUAAGUAAAAAGAUUUGUAUAGAUUUUUGAAAGUAGUCUUAGCUUUUAGAAACUAGUUUCAAAAAUUCUUGUAAAAGCUUUGAAAAAUCUCUAUCAGUUAUGUCAUGUACUAGCUCAACGAAUGUCUUCAUCUUGGUUCUGAAUGUAUCUGACAUUUGAUGGAGAAAAUCCAGGGAUUCAUCAUCAUCGAGUAGGGGUGGGCAUGGUAUGGUAUAUACCGAAUAUCAGAUCGAAACUAAAAAUUUUUAUACUGCGGUAUGGAUAUUAUGGUAUUUGGUAGAAAUUUUAAAUUAUUUUGGUAUUGGGUACGGUAUUUGGUAUUUAUGCAAUAAAUACCGAAAUACCGUAUACCGCAUCAAAGUUUUUAAAUAACAUAUAAAACCCACAUAUAUAUUAUAUUUAAGAUUAUUAAAUAUAUUUAUAUAUCAUCCAUUAGCCAAUUGAACACAAAAGUAACUUUUAUUAAGAAAUAAAUUUUUUGGGAAGCUUAUUAUUUAGGAGUACUAUGAUUAAGUUUAGGUAAUGUUGUUUGGAGUUUGCACCUCGCACUAUUCAAUCAUGAUUGAAAUGUUUUAUUUUGUGUAAUUGAUUAACAAAGAUAGUUGUUAGUCUAAUAUGAUUGAGACAUUUUUAAAAUUUAAAGUUAUAGUUUUUUUAUAUGAAUAUAUGUAAAUAGAAAUCAAAUAAAGUAUGGUUACCGAAUUACCAUAUCGUAAAAUACCAAAAUCAAAUUUAAAAAUACUGAACCAUACCAAACUAAUUUGGUAUGGUAAUGGUAUUUUUCUUUUAGAUACCGAAAAUCAAAGUUAUCGUACCGAAGUUUAAAAUAUUGUACCGUAUCGUACCAUGCCCUCCCCUAUCGUCGAGGCUGUCUACCAGAAGUUCUAUCAUAGUCGGAGAUUUAGUCAAUCUAGACUUUGUCGCAGCUGGUGAUUUCUAAAACUUGACUUUCACCUCUGGUGCUAGGAGACUUGAAAUAUAUUCCAGUAUAUUAGAGAAAAUUUUGAGGACCCCCUCAAAAUUUCUACCCAGUUUAAAGUUGUUUGAGACGAUCCCAGAUCGAGCGGAUCCGAAGUCUUUAUUUGUAUGACCCCGCAAAAUUUCUAGCUUAAUUCAGUCCUUUAAGCUUGUCAAGUGGUCCCAGGCUUAGAAGAUUCUAGCUAAGUUUUCAGAAUUAGUUUAUUUUUAGCCUACGAAAGUUGGCAAUCUCAUUUCGCGACCUUAAUGUUCUUUAGUGGUCUAUAUUUUUGUUAAUUCAUGAUCAGGAAGGUCAAUAGGUGUUUUCGAACAAGUUUUGGAUUUUUUGGACCGUGUUUAGACCACGUUCGGAAUUCCAAAACAGUGGAACACACGAUCUUGACGCGCCGCAUUGCCUAUCGCUUUGGUUAAUAUUGUUCCAGGUUGCCAGAGUCAAACUCCUGAGACACGGCACGAUCAUGGCAGGAUGCAUCGAGUAUCGCAUUGAUUUCAUCAAUGAGCCGCGUCGACAACUGCAUCGAUGCCCAGUUUUCAUUCAUUAAAUGACUGCAUCCUUAAGGGUAAUUAGGUCUUUUUCCCCCAACCUUCAUCCCUCAUAACAUGAAACUUAGCCCCUUUUUGGCUAAAUUCAUUCACUAUUUCACAAUUUCUCAAGAAUAAGAAAACCCUAGGUGAUUAAUUCAAAAUCAAGAACUCAAACUCUCCUCCACUAAUCUUCAAGAAAUCAUCAACCAAGGUAUGUAAAGUGUUCAUCCAAGGGUCCCUUUCACCCUUGGAGCUCGAGAAAUCCUUUUCAAAAUAUAAAUUUUGAAUUCCAUGUUGUGGGCUUGAUUGUACACAUGUUAAUGUUGUGAUAUGACUUCCAAGAUUGAAUCUUUAUUAAAUUUUCAUGACUUUAUGUUAGUAUGUGGAUUAAAAUCCUUAAAUUUGAAGUGCUUCAUAUAGCCAUGAUGUAUUAGUUGUUGAUUUAUGCCUUAGAAAAGGUUAUACCUUCCAUGUGUUUGUUAAAAUGCCUAAGUGAAUAAGAAUUGUGCAUUUAAACCUAUUUGUGAUCUAAAUGAUGAAUUCAUGAUGUACCUACAUGUUCAAAAUGACUCUCAUGCUUAAGUUAUCUCUUGUAAUGAUUUGGUAAAAUGCUCAUAAGUAUGGAUUUGUGAAAUUAUGUUAUGUUAGCACACAUUCUUAUUCAUGUGUAAGCUUAUAACCUACAAAUACUUCAUGAAAUCCCUGAAUGGUUGUAUUGUGAAUUGUUGACUAUGGUCAUGUGUUCAAAAAGUGUCAUGUCCUAUUUAUAUUCAUGCUAUCGAGUCCUGGGGGUAUUUAAUACCCAACAAUUUAGCUGUAUGCCUAGAGCCAGUGUCAAUUUUUAAGAUAACCUUAGUCAAACCAUGAUCAGUAGUACUCUCAGUCAAGUUUCAGAACUUAGACAGUUACAUGACUUAUGAAGCUCAGUAGAUCCAGUAUCAGUUCAAUCCCAUUCUGUAUUCAGUUCAGUUCUCAGUAAAUUCAGUCAGUUAAUCGAACUCAGUAGUAUUCCGUCAGUCAAUGAAACUCAGUAAACUUAGUUUAGUUAUACAGUAAAAUUAGUAACAACUCAGUUAAUCCUAGUGUGAACUAGAAAAUCAGUUCAGUAUCUAUUUAGUUAGGAGUAAGAUUCAGCACCGAGUGAACCCAGAGAUGGGGGCUCACUUGUCAGUCAGUAGAGGGUGUGAUCCUUAGAAGCAAUCCUUGUAUUUCCAGAACUACGUAACCAGCGUAGGUUGAGAUAUAUCUCUACGAGUCUAGGAUUAAUACAUUUUAUUCAAGUUCUCCUACCAGCGAGGGAUUGACGGAAAAGCUCCCUGUCAGCAGAGGGUUAACUCACAACUUGUAUUUACCCGUGGCACGGUAUUGAUACCCUUCAAACUGGGGUCACAGGUUAAACCCCACCAGCUCAGUUAUGGGGCAUGUCGGUUAGAUGAUUACCUCCUACAGUAUCAGUCUCAGUUUUCAGUAAGAAACUCAGAUAGUUCCUCAGAUUUUAGGACUGUUAGAUACAAUCACUCAGCUCAGUACGGAACUCAACUAGUUCCAUCAGAAUUAGGACUGUUAGAAACAGUUAUUCAGUUAACAGUACAUUAGUUAUCAGUAAUCCAUGUUAUCAGUAAACUUAAUAUAGUUCUACAAAUUUAGAAUUGUCAGAUACAGUCAUUCAGUUACCAAUUAUACAGUAUCCGUAGACUUAAACAUCUAUUAAUCAGUAUUCAAAUUUAGUAUUUAGCAUUAUCACGACCUCAGUUACAGUACACGUAUUUAUGCACGUAUUCUCACGCAAUCAUAUUCAUGUUAUUCAGCCAGUUAUAGUUCAUACAUAUGAACCCUUACAUUCAAACUACCUCACUUUGCAUACCAAUACAUUCUCACGUACUGACGCAUACUUUUCUCUUGCGCUAUGGUGUUUUAUGCCAUAGGUUUGGACGUUUGGUUCUCGAUCACACUUAGCAGUUCAGAUUUCAGCAAUCAAAGUCAGUGGUGAGUCCUCAUAGUUCGAGGAUGUGAUUAUUUCAUUAUUUUAGUGCUUCAGUACUAGCUUAUUUCAACAGUUAGAGUUAGUUGGGGACAUGUCCCAUCAAUUCCUUAUUCAGACAGUUUAGAGGCUUUUUCAGACUAGAGUAUUUCAGACAGUUAUUGUUUUUUUAGUUUUGGUAUUAUUAUACCUUGAUCAGACAUUGUUUAUUUAAGUUUUGAACCUUAUGGCAAGUUUUUCGCCAAAUUUCCGCAUUUAUUUCAGUUAUAUUGUUAUUACAGUAUUACUAUUAUACAGUGGUCACAACAGAUACCGGUCAUGGGUUAGCUAGUGAUUCUUCGGGAUUUUUAGCACAGUGUAGCAUCCGGGGUAUCAGACUCGGGGCGUUACAUUGUUGGUUUCCAUUCUCUUUGUUAGAUGAUUAUCUUCCUCUUAUGAAUUUUAGAAAUUCCUUCUUGAAAAUUCUUCCCCAGUUUCUAUUUCCUGGGUUAUAUGAUCGAGCUGUUGGGGUGCCUACGUAUCCCGUUGAAGUAGAAAUCGGGUCAAACAUAGUUCAGAACUACGCUAAGGAUAUAUAGAAAAAUUUAGUGGGUUGAUCGAAGCCGAUAUAGGCCGCCUACGUAUCUCAUUCUUGAGAAUUCAAGUCAUCACGUAUUUCAUACAUAAAAGUAAAGGAUAACUUCUCCAAAGGGGUUGAUCGAAGCCUACAUAGACCGCCUACGUAUCCCUUUCUUAGGAAUUUAGGUCAAACGUAGUUCAUACAUAAAAAAAAAAAGGAUAACCUCUCCUAAGGGGUUGAUCAAAGCCGACAUAGGCCGCCUACGUAUCCCUUUCUUGGGAAUUCAGGUCAAACGUAGUACGUACAUAAACUCAUAUUCAGGGUUAAAUGGUCUUAGAUACUCUUACCCAUCCUACUAAGAUAGAAAUAAGCACAUGAAGCUCUUAUUAACAAAAUGAAAGAUCAACUGUCCAAUUUUCCUUUAAGAGAAUUGAUAAGCUUCCUUUUCCUCCCUUUUGUAGAUAGACAUCGACCCUGAUUCUCUUAACUUAGUCAUUGUCCUUCUAUUCAACCACUUCGUUUUCUCUAGAUUAGGUUUCCUUGAUUCUCGAACUCUUUGACUCUUUUGUUGACUGUCCUAGGGCUAUUAUUACCUUGCUUCUUGGCAUGACAUGACAAUUACAGGUUUUAAGUUACUGUUAUACGACGGGUGAUGAGUCAUGAGUAGAGUGGAGGUCCAAUUCAACAAUGUUUCCUCCAAUUAAUCUUCCAUGAUCCCGAUUGUCUUGGAAAAUUAUCCCCUCACAUUUUCUUUAUUCCAUCCUCGAGACCAUCGCUUAAAUGUUUUGAAAAAUAAUUGGUAGAGUCCAGUUUUACUACUAGUCAUUUUUCUUUUUCUGUAACAAAACUAUAGUCAAGAAGGGGAUCUUUUAUUCAUUUUGAUCUGGUGAAGUAAGGCCAUUUUGUGCCAACACAAAGUAGUUUCUAUUACCUGCAAAGUAAAAAUAACUCAAAGGCCGAUGUGUUAGAUUUCGUUAGUAAUAAGAAAAGAAAAAUGAUAAGGUAGGAAGUAAACAGAUAGAGUUGUUUCUCAUCUCAAUCGAAUUGAUCCAUGAAGUAACGAUGACUCGAGAAUUUCAAUGGACAGGAUUUUGCUCAAUGAUAUGGAUAGGUGAAAUUUAUCGGGAACACUCAACUUUUCUACUUUUUGGCCUUAUUACUUCUUUUUAAAAAGUGGAGGACAACAGAGCUUUUGAACACAUGGGCCAGGCCGGAAGGCUGCCUACGUAUCUCACAGAGGAGAAAUCAGGCCCUACGUAGUUCAAAGCUAUGAUGGCUUUUUCUGAUUCUAAAUUCAACUUUCCUAAAAUGAUAGCGAUCAUUUUGGAAGUUUUAAGAAUGACUGCAGACUUUUCUGAGAAACUUGGGAGACUUGGAGUACGUUUUGUCGGACUUUUGUAUAGUGGGGUAUAUUUCUGCCUAGAGAUGUUCUAUGAAAAAGGGGAUUGGAUCAAUUCAUCUUUGAUUUGAAUCAACAUAACACGUAUAAGAACAUAAACAGUUAUAUUACACAAACAUAUUGUAAUAAACGUGCAUCCUAAUUGGGUGACCCUUUUGAGCUAAUGGUUUAGGCCGAACGCAUUUUGAAGAAAAUAUACGUCUUUUUAAAGCCAAUUCAUUAUCCCCAAAAACCUUCAUAGGUAUACACAAAUGACAUAAAUAUCUACAAAAGUUGCACAAAAGGGAUACAAUCUUUAGGGAAAGGAAAAAUAACAUGAGAAAAAGAAUAAUGUCCCGCGCAUUGGAUAAGAAAUACUAGUUCUUGAAUACUCUUCUAUCAGCCUUCGCCCUCUUAGCUUUAUCCACUUCUUGUCAUUGGCGAGAUUCGUUGAUGAUCAAGCAAUUUCUGUAUAGCUGUGCCCUAGAUGCAACCGUUCAAAUCGAUCAAUUUCUUACUUGGCUUGCUUUAUUUCUUCUCUUAAUUGGUGUAUGAUUGAGGCUCCUUACACGAAAGUAAGCAAAUCAAGCAUUCGCCCGACCCCCAAAGGAUAAUGGAUUGGAUUAAAUAAAUAGAUAUUUAUUCAACACAUAAAUAUGAUUCAUCUGUAAUUGACUCAGGGUCAAUAAACGUCGGGCAGGUUUUCAAAUGGGCCCAAUAUCCCCUCGGGUAUUGGGUCAUUCUAGGAUCGUACCUAAAAUAGAAUUUUGGUUUCGCUCUAUCCUAGGUGUCUAGAGUGGAUUUGAACCAAGUUCCUAAGCGGACAACUUGGACUUGGAAAUACGAACAACCAUCAGAUGUCUCACGUGCUAAUAAACUAUUGUAUUUGCAACACUUUAUUUGGAGUUGAACAGCAGGGGCCGGGACAUCCAUGAAACCCCAAAACAAUUUAAUAAUUCAUGGGGGAUUAUGCAAUGAGAUGCAAUAAUUAAAUUACGUAAAAUCAAAACAUAUAAAUACGUAAGAAAUUUAAACAAUUAGUCAAAAAAUGAAAUCAAACUUUGGUUAGAUCCUAGUUAAAUUCCCCAGUGGAGUCUUCAUUUCUGUUUUACAAAAAUUUUGAUUUUUGAAAGUCGCCACUUAAUUUAUUUGAAAAGGAAUUAAGACAACCUUUAUAAAGUACUUGAACGAUUCAAAACAAGAAAAUAGUCCAAGUUAGAGAUUCUAGGUAAGCGAUUCCUAUUAACAUUCUAGGAAGUUUUUAAGGCACCUAAAACGUCCACUAACUUGCGAUUAUCCGAACUGCUUGAAAGUAUCUUUUGACUAACUUCAAAAAGAUUGAUUGUUGAAAUAUGAUUGAUUUUAGGAAAAGACUUGUGUAAAAUAGAUUUGGACGACUUAGUAGGGAUUUUAACUAAGUCUAAAUAAACUAACAACAAAGCAUGAAAAAGGAAAAGGAAAAAAUUAAAAGACUUAUGCCAUUGGACCCAAACCAAUAAGUCCUAUCCUAAUAUAAUUGGGAUUUUGGCCCACUUGCACCUUUCCUAAUCUAAAUGUUGGGCCUUGGCCCGUAACCUGUCCUAAACUAUUUUUCUAACCCGUUGGCCUAAAAUCUGCUCCACCUGUAUUAAAUGUACAACUUUGGCUUCGAGGCCCAAAUGAAUGAAUAAUGCAAUGAAGAAAUAAGUAAAUAAUAAUAAAAGGACAACAAUAAAUGAAGAAAAAUAAGACUUUCGAGUCUCUUUACCACUUUAAAGAUGGAACUUUAACCCAUUUUUCUUCUUUCGACUUCUGGUAUUCAUAUGCCAUGAGAUUACAUUUUUGGGCCUUCGAAGUUGACUCAGGAUGGAUGAGCCUCAUUGGCCAACAUCGAUAAUGCCACAACGGGAUAGAGUCCAUUUGGACUCGAAUGCGGGUUUGUGCGAAGAAAAGGUACAAAUAUUUAAUACAUGCAUGUAUAUACAUAUGAUAAAUUAGCAACUAAUCAUGUUGAAAAUUUUAUGAUAUUAUAAAAUAUACUCACACACAAAUUAAAAAUAAAAACAAUGAUUCAUGAAAAAAAAGAUAAAGGUAAAAAUAGCAAAUUCUCAUGAUUUCGAGUAACUGAAGUUAAGCAAUAUUAUUUUAAGGCUACAUCAAAAUUUGGUAGAGUAAGGACAUGAAUUGGACACCUAAAAAUAUUAGUGAAUAAACAAGGGAGAGGGGUAGUUAACAAGUGAGAACACAAGCAAACAAAGAACAAGUAAAUUUGUAUGCCAAAAGAAUCUCAUAUCAUAAGAGUUAUUACCUUGAACAAACACGCAAUGGAUUAACUGUAGGUUAAUAAAACUUGAACAAAACCAUGAAUUUCAAUCACAACAAAUAAUAUUUAUACUACUAAUCCGAUGGGCGAAAGGACUACAAUAUGUUGUCUUGUGUUCUAUAUGAUCACCAAAGUAAAAAUUCAAUGAAAAGAAUCAACAAAAAAGCUGCAUUAGUCAAGAAGGUUUUCAAACUUUCUAUCCAAACUUUCAAUUAAGCGUUAAGAUUACACCAAAAUGGAACUUAUCAAACAAAAAGAACUGGUGAUAAUAAACAAAACUUAAGAUGUCUGAAUGAAAAUAAUUAGUUAAAUUUUGAUCCCAUCAAGAAACUAAAACUAAAAUCAGUAGUUGAUACGUGAAAACCAAAGAGGAAUAAAACCACAGAAUCUUUUAAAUAAUCAGGAUUAAGUAUUAAGAAAAGGAUCCAUUUAUAUGAAAACAAUAUUCAGAUAAAAUUUAAGACUACACAAGAUAUCGAAAUGUAUUAUUUUCCUUUUAUACAGCUAGGCUACAAGAACAUCAACACACUCAAACCAGGACCUCAAAAACAUUAUUACGAAGCCAAGAGAAUGUUAACAACAUUCAACGUCAAGAGAAAACAAAACAAUUAUGAGUGAAACAAAUCAAGAACAUACUAUGCAGAAUUUAGUCAAGAUGUAAUUUUUCAACCAAGUAGUUAAACAAAUCGUGAUAUAGAGCUCGAGUCAAUCAAUUUUCGAUCAAUAAGAUAUUUUACAUUCGAGCAGGACAAGACGAGGAAGAAAUCAUUUUUAAGAUUUUAUACUUUAGCAAGAUAAACAACACGAAAAGAUUCACUAAAAACACACAACGAGACAUAUUUUACAGCAACUUACAAACAACACAAAAAGAGAUUAUAACUAUACGAUUAUCGCAGCAAGAAUAUCAUCGCAACUAUACCUAUGGCCUUCGAGGCCUCUACAGCAAGCAAUCCCAGCAUACAACAACUAUGAUUACUAAACUAUAGAGAAAGGAUUAAGAAGAAAACAAUGGCGAAUUAAAAGUAAAGGAGUUUACCUUGUUCGAGGCAACAAAAUUGUACUCGAGCUGUUAUCGAAAUCUCCUCGCCACCACCGAAAGCCAAGAUUAAAUCCAAAACUAACUAAGAGAAAUUUCAAUUGUAAUUUCCUUUUCCUCGAAUAUUUUGAAGUUUAUUCCUCAAAGGCCCUUUUUCUUUUUUUUUUCUCCUUCCUCCUCCUUUUCAAUGAAAACAGCAAGAAUAUCUAUAGGUAAAGCUUUAGGAUCCAGUUUUUAUUCCUUUCGAGGUGGGAUGGGAAAAUGGAUAGAAAUUCGAGGAGAGGAUUUCAAAAUUUCAAAAUAGGAUUAAUAUCCACCAUCCACCUAUGUACGAAUCGGACAAUGGUAAGAUAUUAUACCAUUGAGAGAGACAGUUGGACAAUUUCUAGGCUCUUCUAGAAGCGGACAGCUCAUCAAUCGCACAUAAAUGAUGAUUUUAGGACUGCAUCGGUUGUCAAUGCAUGAUGUUAUGUUUAUCAUGGGUUCAGGUCGGCAGGUCUGGUGCGGGUCACCGUUUAUGGUGGGCGUUGGAACUAGUCAGUUCGGAGAUUACUGGUUGAAAUUGUCGUUAUUGUUGAUGUUUAUA